rnacentral:rRNA from 1 species
ACUCAAAUGAAUUGACGGGGGCCCGCACAAGCGGCGGAGCGUGUGGUUUAAUCCGACGCGACGCGUAAAACCUUACCAAGGCUUGACAUGCCCCUGCAGCCGUCCGAAAGGGCGGGGCUUUUCGAAGGUGGGGCACAGGUGCUGCAUGGCUGUCGUCAGCUCGUGCCGUGAGGUGUUGGGUUAAGUCCCGCAACGAGCGCAACCCCCGUGGGUAGUUGCACUGCUCUACCCAGACUGCCGGUCGCAAACCGGAGGAAGGUGGGGAUGACGUCAAGUCCGCAUGGCCCUUACGUCUUGGGCGACACACACGCUACAAUGGCCGGGACAGCGGGUGGCCAAGCCGCGAGGCGGAGCGAAUCCCCCAAACCCGGUCUCAGUUCGGAUCGGGGGCUGCAACUCGCCCCCGUGAAGCCGGAGUCGCUAGUAACCGCGGGUCAGCACUACCGCGGUGAAUAUGUUCCCGGGCCUUGUACACACCGCCCGU